rnacentral:pre_miRNA from 13 species
AGGGCCCGGCCCCGCCUCCCUCCUGCUGUGUUUGGCAAUGGUAGAACUCACACUGGUGAGGUAAUGGGAUCCGGUGGUUCUAGACUUGCCAACUAUGGCCCGAGGGCUCAGCCGGCAGUGCAGGA